GGAAAACAGGCUUAGAGAGAAGUGACUUGCUUAAACUAAUACCUUGAAUGACAUAAGAAAGAUAUAGAGUGCUAGUUAUAGGGCUUUCCUCAAUGGAGUAAAAAUGGACUCAUUACCCUUUUGGGCAGAUCAAGACAAGCUUCAGGGAGAAACAGGUCUGUGAGCAGUCAAAUGGAAUUUAGAUAGUUGGAGAAGGCUGAGAAGACAGGUCAGGCAGAGCAAACAGUGAGCAAAAGCAAGCAGUGGAUAAAGUUCAGAGUAUGCUCUGAAAGAAGCAAAAUAAAUCAGGAGUCCAGGAAGACUGGAGCCUAGAAACCUUGGAGCCAAUCUGAACUCCAUCAUCCCCUCCACAUUCCCCACUUCAUCCAUUCUGUCUGCAAAGCCCUUCAACGGUCACCUUUAAAAUGUCUUUCUGCCUCUCCAUCCCCAUGGCAACAGCCUUAAGGCAUACUUUAGUUCCCAGUGCUUCUUAUUCCAAUUGCUUCCUAUGUGGUCUGCCAGGAAACAGUUUGCUUUUCUGAGAGGCUGCACAAAUGCAAUUCCUCUGAUCCUGUCACUGCCCUGCUUUCAUACAUACAUACAUACAUAUAUGUGUGGUAGAUAUAUGCACUGUAUAUAAACAUAAUGUGGUAGAUAUAUGCACGAUAUAGGUAUGUAUGUAUGUAUGUAUAAAAGCAGGGCAGUAUAUAUAUCGUGCAUAUAUCUACCACAUUUUAAAGGCUCUGCACCUCUUUCACCCUGCUUGUUUCUGCAGUCCCAUCUCCUCACAUCAUCCAGCACAUCUGCCAUAACAAUAUUAUCCGGGUCCUACAUGGGACCACAAAUUGAUUAGUAUACACACAAAUGCCUUCUGAAAACAGGGCGAGUGAAUGAACGCGCUGUGUAAGCCAAGACAGGAAAGGAAGGCUGGAGACAGC
rnacentral:lncRNA from 1 species